AUUGAACGCUGGCGGCAGGCCUAACACAUGCAAGUCGAACGAGUGGCGGACGGGUGAGUAAUGUCUGGGAAACUGCCCGAUGGAGGGGGAUAACUACUGGAAACGGUAGCUAAUACCGCAUACCAUCGGAUGUGCCCAGAUGGGAUUAGCGAGUAGGUGGGGUAACGGCUCACCUAGGCGACGAUCCCUAGCUGGUCUGAGAGGAUGACCAUCCACCCUGGAACUGCGACACGGUCCAGCCCCCUACGGGAGGCAGCAGUGUGGAAGAUUUCCCAAUGGGCGCAAGCCUGAUGCCGCCAUGCCGCGUGUAUGAAGAAGGCCUUCGGGUUGUAAAGUACUUUCAGCGGGGAGGCGUUACCCGCAGAAGAAGCACCGGCUAACUCCGUGCCAGCCGCCGCGGUAAUAC
rnacentral:rRNA from 1 species